rnacentral:lncRNA from 1 species
AUUCCCUUUUAUUAGCAAAUCUAAAGUAAGUGUAUUAAUAUUGUUAACGUUACCUUCAUUUGUUUUAAAUUUCAACUUCACGCCUGGGUAGUUCUAAUGAUUUGAAUAUCAAGUUUCAAAUCAUAUACAAGUAUAUAGAUUGACACGGAAAUCAUGUGAUUGUUAUAUGUGUGUAAAUGUAAGCUUCUGUUGUCGUCCGUGCAAUGUUUUCAUAAUUGUAUUAUAAGUACUGUACUGAAAUAAAGUAGAAACAUCACUUUUAGCGCAAUAAAUAUAAUUAAGUCUAGAUUUU